rnacentral:lncRNA from 1 species
CUCCCGGGGGGUCCGGCCCGGCCGAGCCUCGGUGUCCGGCCCCGCGGGGGAGGGGCGCGGCCUGCGGAGCGGGAUCGGGGCCGGGUCUGGGGCCCCUCCCGGCGGCCUUCGAGCCCUGCCGCCCGGCUCCGCGCCGCCCGGAGCCCCUCGGCAGUCCCGUCACGUCUCCUCCAGAUUAGGCAUUAACUCGGGUGCAGCCGCACUUCCGGGGGGCCGCGGCGGGGGAGGGGCGCCUGCGGGAUCCAGACCCGCCCCCCACUCUCCUCUCCCCG